rnacentral:lncRNA from 1 species
CUGGACACGAGCGAGUUGUCCCGUUGGUCCCUGUACCGCGCCGCCAUCGCCGAGUUCACUGCCACGUUCAUCUUCCUCUAUGUCAGCAUCGCCACCGUCAUCGGCUACAAGAGCCAGGCCGCCGCCGAAACGUGCACCGGCGUCGGCUACCUCGGCGUGGCCUGGUCCUUCGGCGCCACCAUCUUCGUCCUCGUCUACUGCACCGGCGGCGUCUCAGGCACGUCGUCCAAGCAUCUCUAAGUACAAUAACAUAUUUUAUACGGAGUACUAACGGAGAUAGUUUUGCACAUAUUUACGUUACGAUGUAUGAACUCCGGUGCAUGCAUGGUACAGGCGGGCACAUAAACCCGGCGGUGACGUUCGGGCUGCUGGUGGGGAGGAAGCUGUCGCUGGUGCGCGCCGUGCUGUACAUCGUGGCGCAGUGCCUGGGGGCCAUCUGCGGCGCGGGGCUCGUGAAGGGGAUCACGGGCCGCAGCUACGAGACACUCGGCGGCGGCGCCAACUCCGUGUCCGACGGGUUCUCGGUGGGCGCAGCGUUCGGCGCAGAGAUCGCCGGCACGUUCGUUCUCGUCUACACCGUGCUCUCCGCCACAGACCCCAAGCGCACCGCCCGCGACUCCUUCAUCCCCGUACGCGUGUUGAUUUCAUCUUCUUGCAUGCUUGCAUGCCGUAUACCCGUGGUUUCCGAGUGGUUGACUUGAGCGUGCUCUGUUUUCCUCUGCUCUGUGUGUGUGUUUGUUCAGGUGUUGGUGCCGCUACCGAUUGGGUUCGCGGUGUUCGUGGUGCACCUGGCGACAAUACCGAUCUCGGGGACGGGGAUCAACCCGGCCAGGAGCCUCGGCGCCGCCGUCAUGUACAACCAGCACAAAGCCUGGAAAGACCACGUGAGCAAACCACUAAGAUUGCAUCCACGCACGUAAUUAACCUUGGCAACAACCAUGCAUAUAUACCGAUUUUUGAUUGGUUGAUUAUUCUUGCAGUGGAUAUUCUGGGUGGGGCCGCUCCUCGGCGCGACCGUGGCGGCGUUCUACCACCGGUUCGUGCUGCGCGGCGAGGCCGCCAAGGCGCUGGGCUCGUUCAGGAGCACCGGCGCUGCGACCGCACGAACCUAACCAAGGAGCGAGCACACACGUACGCAUGCAUCCGUGUAAUCGAAGCUGCUUAAUUUGGUCGGCCCGGGCGUCCCUGUUUGAUUCUUGGUUCUACUACUUUGCUUGGUUCAUGCUGUCUUGUGUAACUUUGGACUGUUGCUUGCAUGUGCAUGCACGGGUGGUCCCUUCUGUUGUCUGUUGUCUCUUCGAUUAAUCUAUGCAAUUACACUUCGGUGAUUACAUCGCUACAUAUGUCUGUGUAUGGACGAAAGUUCCUACAUGUACUCUCCGUGGGAUGCAACAAAAACAAAUUUAUGUCAGAAUCGUUUGAACAACCAUUUGGACUUGGCACGGUUGCAGUAGCUGACUGUGUUGUUUCAAAUUUAGUUAUCGGUUUUGCUAUAAAAAAACUGUAUGUUUUUAGUGUGACCAGUCCGCGUGUUUGCAUUGGCCGCCGGAUCUUAAUCCAAGGAUGUCACAUGGUAGAGGUGUGAGUAAUCGUGAUUCUCAGAUCUUAAUUCAACGGUUCUGAUACAUUCAUACCCGAUCAAAUAUAUGUUUUUUUUUGCUUCAAAAACAGGGGAUUGAGAAAUAGCCACACCCUUAUUUUAUACAAUCCGUAUCGGUUUACCAAUUUUUCAACCGGAGAACGUUUUGUACCUCGCGGUCCAGCCGAACGAGCCGGAUAGCGAUGCAAAACAGAGAAAAUUAAAUAACACCUACCAACAUCCGGCACUCAACCAAGAGGUGGAGCCGGAAAAAAGAGCACCCAAACGCUCCUCGGAUUGGCGGAAGGACUGACGCAAAACACGAAGAAGAAUUGUUGAUGCGUGUUUAAUACUUUUCCCCGAGCAAAAGAAAUGCCUAACGAAAGUUUUCAUAGUAAAAUUUUAUUUGGGAAAGCUUCGUGUACACCCGGGCGCACCACGCCAAUAUUCUAACACAAACGCAUGCGCUUUGAGAUUCGUGCGGGAGAGAGAGAGAGAGAGAGUGCUUCCCAAACCGACGCGUCACCCCGCUGCGGCGCUGCGAAGCUGGAGAGGCGCGAUAAUGCAGUACACCGGCAGGAGAUGGAGUGCGAGUGCAGAACCGCCGGCAGGAGAUAGAUGGUGCAAGUGCUGAACCACCGAUGCAGUGUGCUUUGGGCGUUGAUCUCAAAGUUCUGCGGAUGGCCCGGGAUUGUGAGUGCAACACCUUUGGGUUCUAAAAAUCCACUCUCUUUAUUUUUGUUUAUGUGCAACAACAGUGAUCACAGUUGUAUGCCUUUCUGUUUUCCCAUGUUGGUAGAUCAGAGAUACCACUAGCAAGUGAGUUAGGUGAAAUACACUAAUUAACAUAACUAGGGAAAAACCCACCUACCAGUCGGCGCUGAAUCGUCAGGAUACACUAAUAUUUCAAAUGAUGUGUGUCAAAAACAUUACGAAAAAUACAUUAUCCGUGUUUGAUGUGAAUUACAGCUAUAUCUAAGUCACUUAGGUUGAGAUAAGUCGAUUUCUCAAACACUGGAUAUGGUUUGUGCUUUAAGAUUUAGAGCGGACAAUGGAAAGUGGAGGGUAGAAUAACGUUCAAAUACUGAUCCAACAAUUUUGAUGCAUCAACUGGAAUUUAAAACUUUUGGUUGAAAAUUAGACGCUUGAGACAUAACCACUGGAUUACGAUUAUAUCUUGUUCUUAAAUGCACAAACACUCUAACACUAGUGUUUCCUGACAUUUGUGGAGGCGCAAACAAAAGGAAUCUAUACACAAAGUCAGAAACGAAUUAAAAACGUCAUGUAACACGUAGAAUCUCUGUACAUGCUAGUUAAUCAUUUCGAGGUCACAUACGGGCGUCGCCGAAACUGGGCUAGGAUCGACCGUGCCCCUUUUUCCAGUUGAUUAAAGCAAAGCAAAACUGAUUUACAUGUUCUAGAGAAGACGCCUAAGGUUUGCUAGGCUAGCUAGUCUUGUUCGAUCUUUAGCUCUGUCUUUUUUUUAGGAAUCUUUAGCUGAUCUGUCGAGCCGUCUUGUCGCAUUUUGGAGUGCCUCUCUCAUCCCUUCUUCAUCACAAGAUCAAGCGUCGACGGCCACUCGCUUUUGUUGAUUUUCGUUAAAACGAAACAAAAGGUAUUAUAUUCCAAUGCAACGGCGAGAGCAACCUCCUGCCUCAAAAUAUCUAGUACCUACCUGGCUACCUCUAGCUCAUCGGCUCGUGUAUUUAAACAUCGCCUACCACCUCGCUCUGUUCGCGCCAAGAACACACCAGCACUAGCUAGCCUGCGCGUACCUACUGACCUAAUUAAGUUCUUCAGGUUGCAUAAUGCCGAACACGAAGGAGGAGGUGGCCGCCGCCAAACUCGCCAAGCAGGCCACCCUGACGGCGCCGUACUGGGACCCUCCGGCGGAGCUGCUGGACAGGAGCGAGCUGUCCCGUUGGUCCCUGUACCGCGCCGUCAUCGCCGAGUUCAUGGCCACGCUCAUCUUCCUCUACAUCAGCAUCGCCACGGUCAUCGGCUACAAGAGCCAGGCCGCCGCCCAAGCGUGCACCGGCGUCGGCUACCUCGGCGUGGCCUGGUCCUUCGGCGCCACCAUCUUCGUCCUCGUCCACUGCACCGGCGGCCUCUCAGGCGGGCACAUGAACCCGGCGGUGACGUUCGGGAUGCUGGUGGGGAGGAAGCUGUCGCUGGUGCGCGCCUCGAUGUACAUCGCGGCGCAGUGCCUGGGAGCCAUCUGCGGGGCGGCCAUCGUGAAGGCCAUCACGCGCCACGCCCACAGCUACGAGGCCUUCGGCGGCGGCGCCAACACCGUGGCCGACGGGUUCACGGUGGGCGGAGCGAUCGGCGCCGAGAUCGUCGGCACCUUCGUGCUCGUCUACACCGUCUUCUCCUCCACCGACCCCAAGCGCACCGCGCGCGACUCCUUCGUCCCCGUAACCUACCUAGCUCUAGCUCUAGCUGCGUGUUUGAUUUCCUCUUCUUGCUUGCAUGCAUGCAUGCAUUGCCGUGGAAAUGACGGACGCACCGUGUGAUUGACUCGAUGCCGUGCUCUGUUCUGUUCUGCGUGUUUCUGUUCAGGUGUUGCAGCCGCUGCCGAUUGGGUUUGCGGUGUUCGUGGUGCACCUGGCGACCAUACCGGUCACCGGCACGGGGAUUAACCCGGCCAGGAGCCUCGGCGCCGCCGUCAUGUACAACCAGCACAUAGCCUGGAAACACCACGUGAGUAAACCACCAAGACUGCAUCCCCAUAUACGCACGUAAUUAGCCUUUGCAAUUAACUACAUCGAUCUUCUCUUGAUUAUUUGUUGAUGGACUUCUGCAGUGGAUCUUCUGGGUCGGGCCGUUCGUGGGCGCGACCGUGGCGGCGUUAUACCACCAGUGCGUGCUGCGCGGCAAAGCAGCCAAGGCGCUGGACUCGUUCAGGGGCACCGGCGCUGCGACCGCACCGCAGGACGCAGGAACCUAACUAUGGAGCGAAAUGCUACAUGCAUACGUGUAAUCGAAGCAGCUGGUUAAUUUGGUCGACCCCGCCCCUGCGUGAUUUUUUUUUCUGCGGAUAUAUACCGCCCGCGUGAUUCUGUUUCUUCUUUGGUUUGUUCGUGAUGUGACGUCUCGGUCGUGUAACUUUGGACACAUGCAUAUGCAUGGAUGUGGCCCCGUGUGUCCUCUCUUUGUUUAAUUUGUGGUGAGUAGUACAACUGAGGUUGUCUAUGAAUAAAUCGACCGGCUGGUACUUUUCGCUGAUUACAUCGCUGCAUAUGUUUGGACGAAAUUUAGAUCUAUGCACACACUUUGGGCUUAAUUAGCACAGUCUGCGGUUGCUUAAUCGUAUGCACAAUGCGUUGUAAAAACAUUCUGUGACUAUACUUUACAGCCGAACACACUGGAUAGCGACGCAAAACAGGCCGCGGGGAAUAAAACCUACCAACCGUUGGAUACUCGACCGCCAGACAAAACCGAAACACUCUUGUAUAAUACUUUUCCCUUGGCGAAAGAAAAGUGUAGAUCCAUCAAGCAUCCUUUUCUUUGCCUAAAGAAAGUUGCAUGCUUGCUUUUAUUUUUGUACGUUAAGGUGCGCCAACGGUAAGCACUGUUGUAUGGCCUUCUAUAUUCUACUAUGUUCGCAGGUGAGUCAGGUGAAAAGACAUUGAGGUAAUCAGGGGAAAAAAACGUCUAUCAGCGUUGGACGCUUGAUCGUCAGGAUCAUUCGAACGUCCCCGCAAGUGACAAAAAACCAACAGAAUAAGUAAUAAUAAUAUAUUUAAUACUUCUCUCGAGCUAAGGGCCUUCACAUUGUGUCAAGCCAAAUACGGCUGAGAUUGUGCAGUUUGGCACCGAUGCCAUAAGCAAAUUUUUUCCACGACGUGUGCGAUGCUAAAAUUUUUACUUGUGUGGGUUCCAUACAGAAACUAAACAAUAGUACUGCUACUUGCUUUAUCUCCGGUCAUGUUCGUUCCACACCAUGGAUUUUUUUAAUGUUUUGUCUCAAUUUGGCACCGGAUCAUGUAGCUGCUUCAGUUCCAAAAUUCUAAGAUUUGACACUGGUCACAUAAUGUUGAAAUGAGGUGCCAAAUGUCAAACAACAAUUUGACACCUCUAUUUGACAUACACCGUGGAGGCCCUAAAAGAAAUAAUAAACCUUUCUUUCGAGGAGUGACAAUUUUAUUUGUCUAAAAAACGUCUGCAUGUUUUGCUGUGUCAAGGUGCGCCAACAGUGAGAUGUUGUUUGGCCUUCGGUUCUACCAUGUUGCCAGGUCUCGGAGGACAGGGGCAAGUGAGUUAGGUGAAAGAGUACACUAAGGUAACCAGGAAAAAAAGGAAGCUUGAUCGCCCAGUAAAACCGAGAAAACAAUCGUUCGAACGUCCCUACCAAGUGACACAAAUUCAAGACAACGUACUAAUGCUCCAUAAAUUAAUACUUCGCCCCGAGCGAAAGGAAAGAAGAAACCUAUCAAGGAGGGACCAUUUUCUUUGGCUAAAGAAAGUUUGCAUGGUGUCUUUUGUUUUUGUUGAGUUACACCAAUUGUGGACAGUUUGUAUGACAUUUUGUUCUACCAUGAUGGCAGGUCUUAGAGGCCACGAGCAAGUGAGUUAGACGAAAGACGUUAAUAUAACCAAGAAAAAAUAAAUCACCUCCUAGUGUUGGGCGCUCUAUUGCUAGGUAAAAAAAAACGAGCGUUGCUCCCCGCAGUGAGCGACGCAAAGGGCCAGUUCUUUUUGGCUUCUAAAACAGUUUCUAGCUCCACAACAGCUGAAGCCGAAAAAAACUACAUUCCACAAGUUUCUAGGAGCAGCCCAACGCCCAAAAUCCUUCAUAUGAAAAAAAAACUAGUCUAGGGUAGCUUUUUGGACUUUUGAUAAAUCCCACCUUGUUUUGCCCUAAAAGGGCACUCCAAUUACAAGAAAAAUGCCACCGCGGGUACGUAACGAUUCACCUGCUCCUUUCCUCCCAUUUCAUACCCUCGCGAUCUUCUCCUACCUCCUCUCUUCCCCAACCCAGUGGCGAUUAGGGUUCCCGUUGAAGUCCGCUGCGCCGCCGCUGCGCGAAGCUUUGCUCCUCCUCCGCCACCGCGUGGGUCGCCGCCUCUGUGUGGGCCGCCGGAAGCAACCGCCGUUGGCCGCCUCCCUCUUCUCCUCUGCACCGCGCGCCUCCCUCAAAUUCAUCGUCGGCGCCGCCCCUUCGUUGGCCGCGGCAACCCUCCUCAACUCCGUCGUCGCCCGUUGUUGGCCGCAGCGCAGUUCCCCUCCUCUUCUGCUACGCGCCACUCCGUCUCCUUCUGUAUUCCUCCGCCCCUACUAGUUCGUGGCCCAGCCUUCCUUGGCACAACGACGGCCACCUCCUCCAGUACCGCUCCAGUGCCACUAGGCCGGCCAUACGUCUAAUCCUACCGAAUGGAUUCCUUGUGUGUGCUGCUGAUUGAUUAGCAUAGAAAACUGUAGUGUGCUCAGAAUGAAUCUCCUUUGAUUACGUUUCUUUGAACUGCUCGAUCUGGUAAAUAAUUGUUCUUUUUGUGUGUGUAAGAUUUUGGUCUCAAGAAACCUUGAUAGUGUUGGAUAAUUACUGUGAUGGUCUAAUACGUAGCACUUUAUGGAUAUAUGAUAUAUUCUUAUAGGCAUAUGUGUUGCAAAUCAGUAUAAAAUAACUCAUACAAGACAGUCAAAACAGAAUUUUAGAUUAGGAGUAUUACAGACUUUCCAAUAGACAACUUAGAUAAUAAGCUGAGAUGCCACUAGUCGAAAAGAACUAGACUGCAGUUUCUUAGUAGUUUCUCCCCACCACAGUUUCUGUGGGUAGAGAAGGUAAAGCCGUUUCUGGAGAAGCUGAAGCCGAAAAGAACUGGCCCAAAAUCGGGAGGAUAAGUACAAGUGCUCUAUACAAUACUUCUUCCCGAGAGAAAGAAAAGUACAACCACGUCUAGGAGAGCCAUUUUCUUUGCCUAAAGAAAAUUUGUAUCGUGUCUUUUAUUCUUGUUUAGUUGCGCCAUAGGGUCCAGGGAGACAGCUCCUCUGACGUACGUUACUUGCCGUGAGGGGGGCUGACAUGUGGCCCCGGACUCACAGGUCAGCCACAGCAGCCGGGAUCCUACUCCCCUCUCCAGACUUGGCAUCGGGUUUUUUUUUUUUGACGAAAAGCAACACGGUUGCGAUUCAUUGAUAAGCAAGGAGGAUAUACAAGAGUCUCGGUAGCCCCUAAACGGCAAACAACAAAGAGGUAUAUAUAGAGAUCGACAAAGACCGGCAACAAAAGGAAUUACUCGGGAUGUCUAACUCGGUGGAACCAGAACUGCUCAAUCAUGGGAUAAUGCUAGCUCCCUUGUGCCUGGCGAAUCGCCAUGCCGCAAUCUCCUCAACGGCAAAGCCGAUGAUCAACGAGUUGGUGGAACGCUUCGCAUUGAACGUCAUGUCAUUUCUUUCCUUCCAAACCAUCCACCAGAAGAUCAAUACGAGGUAGCGCCCUCUGCACAGAUAGUCCAGUGCUCCACCAUCGAACUGUCCCGGGGACCAUGCCAUUCUGGCAGCAGGUUCCAGAGCCGCAACAGCUCAUCACAUAGGUUCGCCACGGACGGGCAACCGAUGAACAGGUGCUGCGCAUCCUCCGGCGAGCUUCUACAGAACUUGCAAACCGGAUUAUGGUCAAUUCCUUUGCGGGCAAGGCGGUCAGCGGUGAGACAACGAUUUUGAAGCGCCGUCCAAGCAAAGAAGCGAACUUUCAGGGGGAUCCUCACCGGCCAAAUUAGAGCAGCCAUACUAGGGGUGGAACGGCCAUGGAAUUGCAUACCAUAAGUAGAGGAAGCGGUGUAGGUGCCGGACAUAUUGAAUUUCCAGAGGAUCAUGUCCGUCUCAUCUGACAGAUGGACGUCUCUCAAACGAAUCCAGAGGUCGACGAACUCAGCAAGAACCCUUGGGCCCGGCUCCCGCCUGGUUGCCGCGACCCAACGUUGCUCCACUAAGGCCUCCCUGAGAGAUGUCUUCGUGCAAGAGGAGAAAGCGUAGAGCUGCGAGAACUGACUUUUGAGAGUGCAGCUACUAAGCCAAGGAUCGUGCCAGAAAGAACAUCUAGCCCCAUUGCCAAUAACAAAUCUGGUCCCAACAUGAAAAAGAGCCAAGGUGGUGGGAUCAUUGCUGAACAUAUUGAACCGCUCAGGAUCGGCGCGGCCCCAGCACUUCCAUAGCCAUCUCACACGAAGAGCUCUGCCAUGCAUCGCGAGAUUCGGGAUACCGAGCCCCCCUAGCGACUUGGGAACACAGACCUUAGACCAGGCGACAAGGCACCUAGCUCCCGAACAGCUAUCUGAGACCGUCCAUAGGAAAGCCUGACGGAGUUUAUCAAUCUGCUUCAAGGCCCAGACCGGCUGAGCCAUCGCCACCAUCUGGAAGUUAGGGAGCGCCGACAAAACCGAGUUGAGAACGAGUUUACCGGCGGUGGAUAGGAGGCGGCCCUGCCAUCCAGCAAGGCGCUUGGCCACCUUGUCGAUGAUCGACUGAAAAUCAGAGCGUCUCAGGCGCGAAAUCGAGAGAGGCAUGCCCACAUAAGUGCAAGGGAAGGUCGCCGCCGAGCAUGGGAGCACAUCAGCGAAUUGGGCCGCUGGCACCUCCAAACUGCAAUUAAUACUGAACAUAGAGCUCUUCCUGAGGUUUAUUUGAAGCCCCGUAGCGUCGCCAAAUAGCUUGAGAAUAUCACUGACAUGAGACGCUUCCAUAGCCGUAGCAUUAAAAAAUAGGAUGACAUCGUCUGCAUAAAUGGAGAUCCUUCGGGUCAACGGGCGUCUACCAAUCGGAAGCAAAAGAGCAGCCCUCUCCGCAGCAUUGAUCAAAGCUCUGGGACAGUCCAUCGCAAUUAUGAAUAGCAAGGGAGAGAGAGGAUCACCCUGCCGGAGGCCGCGUCGAUGAAGGAUGGCCUCCGACAGCUGCUGGUCCACAAGGAUGCGUGUCGACGAAGUACGGAGCAGCAGCGCGACCAAUUCGCGCCAUCUAGCCGGAAAGCCACGGUGGUGCAGAAUCUUCCAGAUAGAACUUUCAUGAGACAGAGUCAAAUGCCUUGGAAAUAUCAAGCUUGAGCAUAAUCGACAGCUUGGCGCCGGUUUUGUAACCGCAGAAGAAACGAAGUAAACUGAAACAAAAGUCAGUGUCGAUAAUAGACAGGUGCUGACAUCGGUGCGACCACCACGUCCACGGGAUCCAUCCGCGGCGGCCUCCGCUGCGGCGCUAGGUCUUCGUUCCCACGGCAACACCUGACUUCCAAAGUUCCAGAACACAGCCAGCCGAUCUCAAUCUUCCAACGGUCUGCGCCUUUACGCAAGCCUCCAAGCGGGUGAUUUGUUCACAUCCUAUCAGUGAGUCACUACUUGCAUCUAGCUGUUCGUUCGUAUAUUUUUCUGUUUUUGUGUGUGUAAUCUCUGUAUUACUUGUUCAGUUUAGUACUACCAUCAACUUUUCGGGUCAAAAUAAAAUGUUGGGGCACGCGGAUUAUUUUCCGAUCAACCUUUUGAAGUGAAAAUUUCUGAUCAAUCUUUCUCUUUCUUUAGAUAAAAGCCAGAAAGGCCAGCUCUUUGUUAGAAGUGUAGUACUACCAUCACAAAGAUUGCGGCAAGAGACUGCAUAUAGAAGUAAAAUGAAACGGAUUGAGUUAAUGAUUUACAUAAAUCGUAUGCAUGCAUUAUUUUGCUGGGAGUUUGAUUACAUAUCUCACUGCCACUUUAGGCCUUGUUUGGUACUAGAGUUUUUGAGGUGUUUUUUAGGGUAUUAUCCAAUCCAAAUUGAAAAACACUACAAACUCCAAAUGGUUGUUUGAUAGGAAGGGUUUGGAGUGGAUUAUCCAUAGUUUCCCAACAAAACACUUUUUGAGGUGUUUUCUAGGGUAUUAUCUACUCCAAAUUGAAAAACACUACAAACUCCAAAUGGUUGUUUGAUUGGAAGGAUUUGGAGUGGAUUAUCCAUAGUUUCCCAACAAAACACUCAAUUUUUUAACAGUACCAAAUUAAAACACUUCUCAAACUAGUGUUUUUUAGAAAAACACUAGUGUUUUGCAUUGGGUUUUUGAGUGUUUUGGGUGAACAUUCAAAACUCUCAAAUACCCAAAACACUAGGAACUAAAAAAAUACACUAACACCGAACAAGUCCUUACAUGUUUGUCGGCAUUUUCUUUCUCCUCUUUUCUGAAGGAAGUGUUUAUCACAGCCUGUUUCUGACGAACGUAGCUUGAUAUGUUCUUAAAUCUUAACGGAUUUAAAGUCGUUAAUUCUUGUCAGGUACCUGGGCGUGGCGACGAGUACAGCUCCUUUUACCUGUUCCUCGAUGGCCCGGCCGGACGAGACGACGAUCUCCUUCAACAGCCUGGAGUUGCAGUUGAACUGAACCUGUCCAUCGCGGACAAAAGCAUGGGAACCACUUCAGCAAAAGCACAGGUCGAUUCAGCUAGCUGUCUCCUUAGCAGCUGUCAUUGCUAUCUCGUGUUUGUUUCGCGGCCUGAUCUUGAAUUCUUGACAUAUGAACAGUCAGGUCAGUAUACAUGGUGGCAAAGCUACCUCCAACAGUAAACCUUGAGUUUCCGAGUUUCUGAACAAUCAAGAUCAAACCCAGAAAAAACAGAAAAAAUAGCGAUCCGCAACUUGUUUCCAGACGAGUGGAACACAAUUAUCAAAGUCAACGCUCGCUCUGAUGAUCUGAUCCACAUCAUCAACAUCACGACGACAACAAGGAGGCAAUCCACAUCCCGAUCGCGAGGCCGGAGACUCCCCCCACGUCCGGCCACGCGCCGGCGGAGCUCGAGGACGGCGGCGGCGGCGCGGGUGUAGGGAAGGCCCGCGGCGGCGGAGGAGGGGGAGGCGACGGCGCCGCCACGGCGACGGAGAACUUCAUGCCGCCGAGGCAGUGGCCGGUGACGUUGCAGACGAAGUAGUAGUCCCCCGGCGCCGCGAGGUCGACGAGGUCGCGGCCCGAAGCCCACGCGCGCACCGUCUGGUUCGCCGCCGGCUCGCACGUCCGGUACGCGUCCUGCGUCACCUCGCGCACGUCGUGCUGCCGCGGCACGUAGUUGAACACUGGCACCACGCACACGCGCGCGCAUAUAUAUCGAUCGAAUCAAUUACACGGUGAUCUUUCUCAAAAUUACACGGUGAUCCUGCUUAUGGACGGAAAUUGCACACCGACGAUAUACCUUACCUAGCGUGUCGCCGGCGGUGAAGUUGUACUUCUGCGACCAGGCGAGGUAGCUCGGGCCGAUGGUCCACCCGUCGGAGUCGCCCACCGUGUACUCCGUCGCGCCGGAGAGCCGUGGAGCCGCCGCCGCGAAGAGAAGAAGCAGGAUGGCAGUGGCGGCCAUGAUCGAUCGCCCAGCUGAUUGGGACUCGGGGGGAUUGGCUAAGCUCUGAUGAAAGUAUGAAGGGGACGUAGGGGACGACGACGACUUUGGACUUUACAGCUCGAGUUGUUCUUGCAUCCGUAUAGCCUCAAAUGCUUACCCGGAGUAAUUGCAACUUGCAAGGUUGGCUUGGUCUUGGUAUCGAUCGCUCAUCGCUCACAUGUCUGCCAUAACAAAAAAAACACUUUUUUUUUCCUUUCAGGAGGAGGAAAAGACAGUACUCAACCAUUGCUCAAUUUCACGUUUGGUCCUAAUCCUCUAUGGCAAACGUUUGGAUCCUAAAUUUUUACACGUUAAUCUAGUUUCGGUGCAUUGUUAAAGAAAGUACAAUAGACCACAAAAAUUGGAACGAGUAUCAACAAUAAAGUCCUUACUAAAACUAAAUGUUAAAUCAAACUUCAAAGUCACAUCUCUCCGCUACCUCCUUAUAUUUGGUGAAAAACUUAUAAUAUCACGCAUAUAAAAGUUAGACUAACGUUAUAGGUUCUGAAAAGUUAUAUAAGCCACCCGCCUCCAAUGAAACUGAUGCUUUGUUGGCGAAUUGAUAAGGAAAUACCAAAAGCACAAAAGAGGACGAGCCUCGAGAACAAGAAAGACCUCAAUCGAAAUAACAUUCACGACAAGGUUUCACAUGUAGAAGAAAGAAUAGUACAUAAACUUAGAAACAAAAAGGAAGAAAAACUAUCCAUUCAAAAUACCAAUAAAACUAUAUUAAGAAUUAAUGGAAACCAUACAUAUUUGAAAAAAAUGAAAGCUAUGAAAUUCUAAAAAUAAAUAUUAUUAGGGCUCCAAUAAUAUUUUAGACAAAAAUAUUGAAAAAAAAUAUUUUUAGAUAAAAAUGGGAAUUCAAGAAACCAUGAGAUACUCCGAUUUAAGAACAAGAACAAUGAAUUUAGGGCUCAGUUUUACAGUGCAAUUUAGGGAUCAAAUGAGCCCGUUUUAGAAGAAGAAAAAAACAAGAUGCACGUGGUAAUGCUACGAGGCAGGCUACAAUGCUAGAUGGGCUGCUACUUUUCGGCAAGAAAAUGCGUAGCGCAGUUGGGCCGCAGGCUAGAUGGCCCCCGGCCGCUGCGGCCGCUGCGGAUGCGUCUGUCUGGUCUGGUCUUGAUUCUAGGCACGCACACAGGAGCAGCAGGCAUCUUUCCAACCGGGCUAGCC